rnacentral:rRNA from 3 species
AGCAUUUGCUGUACCGCGUUGACGGAGCGAAGCGACGUCAAACCGAUAAAACAGCAGUGUAAAGUGAGCCGCAGGGCGCUUUGCGCGACAGCGCAAAGGCAGGCGGUUUCGCGUAGCGAAAGCGAAUGCUUUGGGGUGGGGUGACUGCGUACCUUUUGUAUAAUGGGUCAGCGACUUAUAUUCUGUAGCAAGGUUAACCGAAUAGGGGAGCCGGAGGGAAACCGAGUCUUAAUUGGGCGUUAAGUUGCAGGGUAUAGACCCGAAACCCGGUGAUCUAGCCAUGGGCAGGUUGAAGGUUGGGUAACACUAACUGGAGGACCGAACCGACUAAUGUUGAAAAAUUAGCGGAUGACCUGUGGCUGGGGGUGAAAGGCCAAUCAAACCGGGAGAUAGCUGGUUCUCCCCGAAAGCUAUUUAGGUAGCGCCUCGUGAAUUCAUCUCCGGGGGUAGAGCACUGUUUCGGCUAGGGGGCCAUCCCGGCUUACCAACCCGAUGCAAACUGCGAAUACCGGAGAAUGUUAUCACGGGAGACACACGGCGGGUGCUAACGUCCGUCGUGAAGAGGGAAACAACCCAGACCGCCAGCUAAGGUCCCAAAGUCAUGGUUAAGUGGGAAACGAUGUGGGAAGGCCCAGACAGCCAGGAUGUUGGCUUAGAAGCAGCCAUCAUUUAAAGAAAGCGUAAUAGCUCACUGGUCGAGUCGGCCUGCGCGGAAGAUGUAACGGGGCUAAACCAUGCACCGAAGCUGCGGCAGCGACACUGUGUGUUGUUGGGUA